AGUGGAUGGGGAGCAACCUAGUUGUGCGUGUGUAAAGGUAGUGCCAAGAAAAGCGAUGAUCAUGUUGAAAAUCAAUUCCCGGUACCCGAAACCGACACAGGUGGGCAAGUAGAGAAUACUAAGGGGCGCGAGGUAACUCUCUCCAAGGAACUCGGCAAAAUGACCCCGUAACUUAGGGAGAAGGGGUGCCACCGAGAGGUGGUCGCAGUGAAGAGGCCCAGGCGACUGUUUAGCAAAAACAUAGGUCUCUGCAAACUCGAAAGAGGAGGUAUAGGGGCUGACGCCUGCCCAGUGCCGGAAGGUUAAUGAAGUUGGUCAGUUUUAGGAUGAAGCUAGCGACUGAAGCCCCGGUGAACGGCGGCCGUAACUAUAACGGUCCUAAGGUAGCGAAAUUCCUUGUCGGGUAAGUUCCGACCCGCACGAAAGGCGUAACGAUCUGGGCGCUGUCUCGGAGAGAGGCUCGGCGAAAUAGGAUUGUCUGUGAAGAUACGGACUACCUGCAUUUGGACAGAAAGACCCUAUGAAGCUUUACUAUAGCUUGGAAUUGUGUUCGGGCUUCCUGUGCGCAGGAUAGGUGGGAGGCGUAGAAGGUAUUCUUGUGGGGAUACUGGAGCCAACGGUGAGAUACCACUCUCAGGAGGCUAGAAUUCUAACUUAAUUAAGGACAGUUUCAGGUGGGUAGUUUGACUGGGGCGGUCGCCUCCAAAAAGGUAACGGAGGCGUACAAAGGUUCCCUCAGACUGGUUGGAAAUCAGUCGAAGAGUGCAAAGGCAGAAGGGAGCUUGACUGCGAGAAGUACAGUUCGAGCAGGGUGGAAACACGGUCUUAGUGAUCCGACGGUGCUGUGUGGAAGGGCCGUCGCUCAACGGAUAAAAGUUACUCUAGGAUAACAGGCUGAUCUCCCCCAAGAGUUCACAUCGACGGGGAGGUUUGGCACCUCGAUGUCGGCUCAUCGCAACCUGGGGCGGAAGUACGUCCCAAGGGUUGGGCUGUUCGCCCAUUAAAGCGGUACGUGAGCUGGGUUCAGAACGUCGUGAGACAGUUCGGUCCAUAUCCGAUGUAGGCGUGAGAAUAUUGAGAGGAGCCUUCCUUAGUACGAGAGGACCGGGAAGGACGCACCGCUGGUGUACCUGUUAUGAUGCCAAUUGUAAACGCAGGGUAGCCAAGUGCGGAGAGGAUAACCGCUGAAAGCAUCUAAGUGGGAAGCCCACCUCAAGAUGAGUAUUCUGGUGUAAGGUCACGGGAAGACGACCCGUAAAUAGGCACGAGGUGGAAGUGCAGAGAUGUAUGAAGCCGAAGUGUACUAAUAGACCGUCGGCUUGAC
rnacentral:rRNA from 1 species